UGUAAAUAAUCUUGGAUAUUCUAUGUGAACUAACUGGGUUAUGUGAUCCGUCCCCUUUGAAUCACUUGUUGACAGAUACUAUGAUAGUUUGAAACCGGAAUAUCAUGCAAUAUAAUCUAUGUCAAAAUUAAAGAUAAUUUGGCCAUGGUUUAAUCAGAGACAUAUAUAAUACUAUUAUAUAAGUAUUGAGAAGUGUAUAAUGGUCAAUUAUACGUAAUGAGCCAACUUUAUAAUGUACAAAAUGUGUUCCGUCGUGUGUACAACUAUCGGGUCAACACGGUUUGUGUACAAAGUAUUUGCCGACUUGUCAGGUGGUGAGUGAAGUAUCUACGAUCAUAAAGUUAUGAUCUCUUAAUUAAAACACAAAAGAAUCAUGUUACAAGUGUUAAUUACAUCGAUUAAAUCCAAUCAACAAAGGUUAACCUCAUAAAGCCAUUAAAGGUUGCACUUUGUAAAUACAGCUGUUUCUCAAACCACGCCUCUUUUGGGGAGAUAUUUAAUAUUCAUAGGUAUGUUAAUUUGUUAACGUACUGGUUCCCAUUGAUGAUCUCUGUGUUUCAUCUCAUAGAGACAUCACUUGGGAAUGUAACCAGUAUAAAUAAACAUGGUAGCGACUAAAUUUUAAUUCUUAGGAGGUCCAAAAAUGGAGGUAAGGGUAGUAUAGAAUUUUAGUAUAAGUUUAAACUCUUAGAAGUUCAGGGCAUAUAAAUGUUGAAAAUAUGCCGCACAGCCCUAUAUUUUGACCUUUGAAUAAAAUAGUAGUGCAUAUAAACUUUCCAUUCUGGGAUAUUAUUUUUCACGAAACUUCAUAGUAAAAGUGUCACAGUUUUAGCCGCAAAGGGAGUUCCUAUGGGAAAUUGCAUUGUCUGUAUUUACAGAAUUGCAACCUAUAGGUAAAUCGAUCACGUCGUGUAAACAAUCUGAACGGGUCUCACUAAUUAGCGACAAGAAGCGUCAAGAAG